rnacentral:rRNA from 1 species
AUUGAACGCUGGCGGCAGGCCUAACACAUGCAAGUCGAACGGUAACAGGAAACAGCUUGCUGUUUCGCUGACGAGUGGCGGACGGGUGAGUAAUGUCUGGGAAACUGCCUGAUGGAGGGGGAUAACUACUGGAAACGGUAGCUAAUACCGCAUAACGUCGCAAGACCAAAGAGGGGGACCUUCGGGCCUCUUGCCAUCGGAUGUGCCCAGAUGGGAUUAGCUAGUAGGUGGGGUAACGGCUCACCUAGGCGACGAUCCCUAGCUGGUCUGAGAGGAUGACCAGCCACACUGGAACUGAGACACGGUCCAGACUCCUACGGGAGGCAGCAGUGGGGAAUAUUGCACAAUGGGCGCAAGCCUGAUGCAGCCAUGCCGCGUGUACGAAGAAGGCCUUCGGGUUGUAAAGUACUUUCAGCGGGGAGGAAGGGAGUAAAGUUAAUACCUUUACUCAUUGACGUUACCCGCAGAAGAAGCACCGGCUAACUCCGUG